GCAGUAGCCACGGUAAUACGAGGGGUGCAAGCGUUAUUCGGAUUGAUUGGGUGUAAAGGGUGUGCAGACGGCUUAUUAAGUCACUUGUUAAAUUCUUCGGCCUAACUGAAGGUCUGCAAGUGAUACUGAUGAGCUAGAGGGUGGAAGAGAGAAGUGGAAUUCUCGGAGUAGCGGUAAAAUGCGUAGAUCUCGAGAGGAACACCAAUGGCGAAGGCAGCUUCUUGGUCCAUUCCUGACGUUCAUACACGAAAGCGUGGGGAGCAAACAGGAUUAGAUACCCGCGUAGUCCCUGUCUCUUAUAC
rnacentral:rRNA from 1 species